rnacentral:rRNA from 1 species
UACAGAGGUCUCAAGCGUUGUUCGGAUUCAUUGGGCGUAAAGGGUGCGUAGGUGGCGAGGUAAGUCAGGUGUGAAAUCUCGGGGCUCAACCCCGAAACUGCACUCGAUACUGCCUUGCUCGAGUACUGGAGAGGAGAUUGGAAUUUACGGUGUAGCAGUGAAAUGCGUAGAUAUCGUAAGGAAGACCAGUGGCGAAGGCGAAUCUCUGGACAGUUACUGACACUGAGGCACGAAGGCCAGGGGAGCAAACGGG